AAUGAACGCUGGCGGCGCGCCUAAUACAUGCAAGUCGAGCGAGAAGACGUAGCAAUACGUUUGUAAAGCGGCGAACGGGUGAGGAAUACAUGGGUAACCUACCCUAGAGUGGGGAAUAACUAGCCGAAAGGUUAGCUAAUACCGCGUACGCUCCUUGGACUUCGGUUCAGGGAGGAAAGCGAUACCGAGGGUAUCGCGCUCUUGGAUGGGCUCAUGUCCUAUCAGCUUGUUGGGAGGUAACGGCUCACCAAGGCUUCGACGGGUAGCUGGUCUGAGAGGACGAUCAGCCACACUGGCACUGCGACACGGGCCAGACUCCUACGGGAGGCAGCAGUAAGGAAUAUUGCGCAAUGGGCGAAAGCCUGACGCAGCGACGCCGCGUGGGGGAGUGAA
rnacentral:rRNA from 1 species